UACCCGCGGCCCGAGUGGUGCUCAUUAUUAUUGAGUCUAAAACGUCCGUAGCCGGUCGGGUAGAUUCCUGGGUAAAUCGAAUCGCUCAACGAUUCGAACUCCGGGGAGACCGCCUGACUAGGGACCGGGAGAGGCGCGAGGUACUCCUGGGGUAGGGGUAAAAUCCUGUAAUCCUGGGAGGACCACCAGUGGCGAAGGCGUCGCGCUAGAACGGAUCCGACGGUCAGGGACGAAGCCCAGGGGCGCAAAC
rnacentral:rRNA from 1 species